GCUCUCGUGGCGAAAUUGGUAAACGCUUCCGUUUGAGGGACGGAAUUUUUGCUCUUUCAAAUCCUGUCGGGAGUA
rnacentral:tRNA from 1 species